UGCUCAUCGUUCUCGUGUGCCUAGGCAUGUCCAACAGCUCCCUCAUGCUCGUGCGGUCACCUCCCUGCCCCUGCCCCAUCCUAUCACGAUGUCGUUAGGUCGCCAUCGAGCGCGCUCGUGAUCUGCUACCCCUGUCGUCACCAUGUACGCUUGCCUGUGCUCUCCCGAGUCUUCUCGAGCUCGCUCGAGUUCUCCUGCUCCCCCGUGAAGCCUCUGGACAUGCCUCCCCUCCCUCCCCGUGGCUCUGCUUGCGCCAGCGCGACGGCACACGCAUCACCACGGCUGAGCUCACCCCUGGCUCAGUUGAGCUAUAAAUAGGUCACCCCGCACUUCUUCGAGCUCCCCAGCAGCGUCCUCAUCCUCCCAGAACCCCGCCCAACCACUCCACCGAGCUCGAGGAGCCCCUGUUCCCCUCCAUUGCCACCAUGGCCGCCAGCAUCCUCCUCCUAAAUCCGCUCAACGCAGAGCUUCUCCCUCCACUAAACCACCACCAGAGGCCUCCACAACCACCCCGGAGCCAGCCCUGCACCUCUCCUACUCCUCCAAUGGCCUCUGCUCGCGAGUCCUCCGGUGCUCGACGCCUUCCUCCGCCACGGCCGAAGCCCUCCUUGCUCCAGGGCUCUCCGGUGGGCGAGUUCCCUCCAUGCGGGUGCGGCCCUCUCCGCUGAGCGCUCCGGUGGUCCGAGCUCCACCGGAGCCGGCCGGGUGAGCGCCGGCAACCGCAGCCUCCCUCUGCUCCAUGGGCGAUCGAGAUGAAGACGACGACACCCCGCCCAGCUGGCCAGGCGGGCCCCGCCUCCCCCCUCGGCCCCACUUGUCGGCCUUUGGUUGUUGACCAGUAUGGGCCCAGGUGCAUAAGUGGAAGCGCACUCUGUCAGAUCCGUCUCCCCCUCUCAAAAGCGCACUUCGGCUGUUAUUUAGGCACGAAUGUAUUUUCCACCCCGGAAAGCGUAUUCCUUUGUACUACGGCUGAAAGUGUGUUUUCCUUUGCACAAAGCGUGUUUUAACUGAAUGUGUUUUCAGUUUUUCCAGACAAGGACCUGUUGGUGAAGUUUCUUUUACAGAUUGGUCCCUAGACUUCAAACGUCUAUAUCUCCGCGACCGUAGCUCCGAAUCAGCCCCUCCGAGAGAGAACUGUUUCCGGCAAAUCUUUUCGCGAUCCUUGCGCACUUCUUCCCGGUGAGCUCUUCAUUCCCAGGCAAGCCACGACAGCCCCUUGCAUAAUGGUCUUGCAGUAGCCAUGGUUUCCUACUUGAAAAUAAUAAAUUGUUUGUGCAUGUUAAUAUUUUAUGAAUCUUUACUCCUAUAAAAAUACGAGUUGAUGAUGAUGGUGUGUCUGCCUUCAGGCUAUAUAUACCGUCCGAUCUGAAAUAUAAGGUUGAGAUUGAGACUGAGACGUAUUGUGCCCAACCAACCUCCAAAACACUAAUAGUCCAGAUGUUUCUCCUUUUCUCCGGGGAACAGAUUAUUCUAGAACCCCUCCAAACCUCUAGACUAUUCAUGAUAUAUGCAAUUAUAUACUGAUUCACUAUAAGUGUGAGAUUAUUAACAUUAACAUUUAACAUGUAUAUAUGGACGUAUCAAAAGGAGGAAAUUCUAGCCACGAGUAGGAGUCGCCCUCCCACUUCUCAGGAAGAUGACAGUUUUCAGUCACUGCCUUAUUAUGUCACAGUGGCUCAACUCAGCGACAUCCAUGACCGACACAAGAGGAAGGGGCUUGAAGUCCGGUGUUUGCUCCGUAGUGAAGCAUCGGUGACUAGAUUAUGCAUACACCGUGCAACGUACGGGCUCUUUUGCUAUCACUAUAUAAAGGGUCUCCAUGCUCCGGUAGAAGAACAUCACAAACUUUUGCUAUCACUAUAUAUGCUCGUGAAUCCAUGCUUAUCUUUAUGAUAUGAUCAUUUUGCAUCUAUUAUUUAAAUGGUUACUUGCUAGUAUUAUUAUCAUGUUCUUUUUUGGUAAAUAUUCCCAAUGCUAGUGGUCAUGCUAUGUUCAUAUGUAGUGUUGUUAUUAUAAUUGUGAUCAUUGCUAUGCCAUGCUCAUGUGCAUCUAGGAGGGUAAAUGAUUUGUUGUUGCUGAUAUGUUAAAUAGUGAUGUUGCUCACUCAUGCUCAUGUUGAUAUCCUGCUCAUAUGCAUUGUUAGUCCAUCAUGUUAUUGUGACCCGGCUAAUUACAUUAACGUUAAAUCGGACUUUAAUACAACUUGAACAUCUAUGGCUGAGUCAUAAUGCCAUCGAAUCGAGCUGACCAGUGCAGCCACACUUGCCUUAUGGGGGGGGCUGAUUGGGUUUAUUGUCACGCCUCUCGCCGGUGCCUCCAACUAGGGAAGGUUAUACAUGUGCGCUACCCUGAUCAGGUAGGCCGGUAUAAGCCUUGUGUGCCCGAUUUGUUUGCACGGUUUUGUCCCCGUUUGGGACCGUUUAUGUUUUGCCACGACGGUGGUCGUUGGGUGUCACGAGGUGACAUCGAGGCCACCCAUGACUUAGCCCAAAAGAGGAGUUGGUCGGAGUGGUCGGGAGAGUGUCAUGCAAUAGAUCGGUUUUGUCGGAACGCUGUUGGUCCACUCAAAUGGGAGUACGAGGCUUGGGUUCCAUGGUGUCGGUACAAUGUACUAACCUCUGUAGAGUGUAUAAUCUAUCGAUAGCCGUGCCCACGGAUAUGGGCCCAGUUCGUAGUAGGUUACACUAUGGGUCAACAGUAAUAAAAAUUUGAAUAAUAACAACCCAGGUUCAAUGAGGAAAGAAGUUGGUUGAUCUUUAUGUGAUCAUGAGAGGAUCACAGUGGUAUCGUGGAUACCGAGGCUGGUUGAUGUUUGUGGUGGUAUGCGAUAAUCACGGGUAAGGAUCAAGCUUCUUGUGGUCAGGAAAUGAUUACUACGGUAUUGUUAAUACCAAGCUUGAUUUGAUCCUGAGGUGAUCGUGUGAUGUCCACGAUGGUAAGUGGUACAUGUGGUGGUUACAAGGUAACCACGAACAGAGUAAGUUGAAUCAUGAUAGUUUAAACAUGAUGCAUGCUAAUAUCAUCAUGCUCAUAAGUUCAUGCUAUGUUCAUCUCAUAUGGUUUUAGUUGUGCUAUGGUUAACAUGCUCAUGCCUUGUUCUUGUUGUUCUAGUAGUAUCAUGCUUAUCAUGGAUGAUUAACGUGUAAAUGUCAUGUUGUUGCUUGUCUUGAUUGCUUUUGGUUGUUGUGAGCUUGCGAGUACAUUCAAAGUACUCACCUGGUGUGUCAUCCAGUUUGCAGGUCAUGCCGUGUUUGCUUGACUGCCGAGGAUCCCGAGUUUGUGGGCUAGGAUAAGCGUUCCAGCCAGAGCCCCUGCGGAGUGAUAUCCAUCGCUUUCGUCGUCAUUCCGCUGCUAAGAGUUGUUCUACUGCUAGCAUAGAGCAACCUGAGCAGGCAUAGUGUCGCCAUGCGGACGUAAUUUGUUGUGAUAUCGGAACCCUUGUAUCUAUAUCAUUUGUAAUGAAAAGUUGAUUUGUUCUAUGCCAAGCAGUGCCGUAUUCCAGAAGACUUAAUCUUUGGGCUGGAAUACGGGGUGUUCCGGUCUCUCUAAGCCGAGGUGCCACAGGAGAUUGUCGACAUCCCCAACAACGACGGGUAGUAGGCUAGCUUAGGUUUGUCAACAUAGUAGGUACAUUUUCUUUUGCAUGUUUUGUAUGGAUUUAAGGUGCUUAUCAAACUAGAGAAUACCCCACGCAUUGUUGUGGAAUUUUGUAUGCUGCAUUGGUUUAGGGUUAAAUAGGAAGAGGAAUGGUUUUGGAAGUAAA